rfam:Ovis aries breed Texel chromosome 1, whole genome shotgun sequence.
UCCCUAGUAGCUCAGAUGGUAAAGCAUUUGCCUACAAUGCAGGAAACCUGGGUUCAAUCCCUGGAUUGGGAA